rnacentral:tRNA from 5 species
GGAGAGGUGCCAGAGUGGCCGAUUGGGCCGGUCUCGAAAACCGGAGUAGGGGCAACCCUACCGUGGGUUCGAAUCCCACCCUCUCCGCCA